rnacentral:lncRNA from 1 species
AAUUCGUAUACCCCAUAUUAUCCCUCAUAGACUUUUUACUUAAACUUAAUAGUAUUAUUAACAUGAUAAUGAAGUCAUUCUCAAUAAUUCCAGCCUUAUACCAUAUAUCCAUAACAAAGAAAAUGAUCCACAACUUCAAUUAUUCUUAAUUAGCAACUUUAUACACUAGUUCAUGUCUAGUUCAUCCAUUUAACUUAACCAAUGCCAAGAUAACCUUAAGCGCCUGUAGGAACACAAUAUAAUUACAUCCUAUAGUGGAUGCAAGUCAAAAUCCAUAUUAUAUUUAGAUUACAACAACCCAACACACCCCAAUCAAUUCAUACCAAAAACGACGACUAUAGUAGUGUCCAACGCCCCGAAAAUAUUACAAAGAAUGACUAAUCCAUCAUUUUGUCAUUAGGUGGUGUUUAUCCAUAUAAUUUAUCUUCCAAAAACUCCAUUAAAUAGCAGAAAAAUAUACAGCCCAAAAGUUACACGAAACAUCCCACAAAACAGUCCAUUACAAAUCAAAUAACUCGAACUCACGGCUUCCGAUCACCGUCCCGUGAGUUCUAACUAUUAUGAAAUAAAUUAAUCAAUCUUCCUUGAUGUUUAAGAGCUUGAAACCAGAAAUUAGGCAUUUUUAUUAACUUCAAAAUACCUUCCAAAACUCAAACUACAAAGAAAAAGAGAGACUAUAUAGCGAUACUUACGUCGUAGGGAUCAUUCUAGUGUUAUUGCUUCGUGAUUUCGUGCCUCGGACGAUAAUCUUGUUGGAUAACCUUGUGGACAGCUUAAGGGUAAGGUUAGGGGUCUUAUUUGGUCGAGCU